UCCCAUGCUUCUCAUUUUUGUUAUAACAUCUGUUUUCACUCUGUGAUUUCGUUGCCUUUUGAUCUCCGGCUUUCUCUUUGACGUUGACGAACUACUGCCCUCUCGAUCGGAGUCGCUAUAUAUUUGCAUUUUUGUGUUCGGAACCCUAGAUCGAGUUGAUUCGGAUAUCUGUCAAGUUCUAUUUGAAUUAUGCUUUAGGAUAUUAGGUCUGGGUUGGAUCUGCUGCCAGUUACGGGUGAAAAGGAAGAACGAUGGGUGGUUAUAUGGAAGCAUUGAUCGACAGUGGAUUGAAAGUAAAGAUAGCUUUCAACUUGUUUCUCUCCAAAAUGAGGCCCAUUUUCUGUGGGAACUUUGAGUACGAUGCUCACCAGUCAGAAUUGGAACGUCUUUUUGGCAGAUACUGGAAGGUUGACAGGGUAGAUAUGAAAUCAGGAUUUGCAUUUAUUUACAUGGAUGAUGAACGAGAUGCAGGGGAUGCAAUCCAGGCCCUUGACAGGACUGAGUUUGGCAGACACGGGCGAUGGCUUCGCAUUGAAUGGACAAAGCAAGAGCAUGUGGUGGUAGGACGAUCUGGCAGUUCAAGAAGGUCUCUUGCUAAUAUGACGCAUACAAAGACACUGUUUGUCAUAAACUUUGAGCCAAUCGAUACCAGGAUGAGACUUGGAGAAGCACUUUGAAGUUUGAACCAUAUGGAAAGGGCUUAAAUAUUAGGUUAGAAGAUAUUUUGUCUUUAAUUACUUUGAGGCACAGGAGGAUGCCACAAAAGCCCUGGAAGCAACCAACAUGAGAGUAUGCGCUUCGUGAUGAUGAUGACAGAAGAAAUGGGUACAGUCCUAAGAGGAGACGUAGGUAUCGAUCCCUAGCGAGGAGGGGUCGUGACAGUGGACGUACUCCAAGCCCAUACGGCAGAGGCAGGGAGAAGGAUAGCCCUGAUUCUGGGUGAACGCAGGGGUACCCCUAAUUAUGAAAGAGCUGAAACUCUUGGGCAUGAGAAUCCUUCACCAAGGCAGGAAAGAGAAUGAGAUUAUUUUACACUCGGUAAUUUGUGUCAUAGCGGCCAUGAUGGCUCAGGUAC